GGUUAAGCGACUAAGCGUACACGGUGGAUGCCCUGGCAGUCAGAGGCGAUGAAGGGCGUGCUAAUCUGCGAUAAGCGCCGGUAAGGUGAUAUGAACCGUUAUAACCGGCGAUACCCGAAUGGGGAAACCCAGUGUGAUUCGUCACACUAUCAUUAACUGAAUCCAUAGGUUAAUGAGGCGAACCGGGGGAACUGAAACAUCUAAGUACCCCGAGGAAAAGAAAUCAACCGAGAUUCCCCCAGUAGCGGCGAGCGAACGGGGAGGAGCCCAGAGCCUGAAUCAGCAUGUGUGUUAGUGGAAGCGUCUGGAAAGGCGCGCGAUACAGGGUGACAGC
rnacentral:rRNA from 1 species